ACAAUAAUAUCUGCUUACAGCAUAUAGAAAGGGUGACCUUAGAUCUAAGGUGGUCAUGCCAGUUGCCGAGAAUUGCCGGCCAAAUAGAUACACAUAUCUCAAAAACCCCCAAAAAAUAUUGGAGAAAUAUAGAAACAAAACAACAGAUUUACAUCAUCCAAUGAACUGAAAUGUGAUGCAGCUCCCAUCCUACGUCCACCAUCAUCCACUCUUCAUCAUUUUAUAUGCCAAUUCUCCUUUACCUUCACUGUUAAUUACAAAUCCGACUGCCAUAGCCCAAAACAAUCAUACUCAAGUCAUUUUGUCUGCCCAAAGGCAGUAAUCCUUCAAGGUCCUCGAUACUUGCGGAAGCAGAGACAACCACCCUGUUGAUCAGGAGGGAUCAUACCCCCACCUUUUGAUAUGUCAAUGGCCUCCAACAUGGAGACAACCUCGUCCAUUUCAGGGCGCUUGUCAGGGUUAGCAUCCCAGCACCUCUUCAUUACAUUCGCUAGA
rnacentral:misc_RNA from 1 species